CAAAGAUGAUCCAAAAAGUCUAAUCAAAGGAUUGUAUCAAAUGCAAUACAAUAUUUAAUGUUUACAAAUGUUCAAUACAUUAUGUGGAGGGAUAUAAAUGCUAAAUUUACAACAAAUGCAACAAUUGCAUUGAUUGUACCAAAGGACACAUUUAUUAAUUGUUUUGUAUAGCACCAUCAUAUUCUGUAGCGCUGUACAAUGGGUGGACAGGACAUUACAAGUAGUAUAUAAACAACUGUACAUCUAAGCACAUGGCGUAAGUGCCCAUGCAUUGUAGGUCACAUCAUCUUAAUUGUUCAAAUGCAGUUAUUUUGGUACAAACGUAAAAGCACUUUCAUGAUUGUAGCUAAACUGCAAAUAUGGAAAGAGAAUUUGAUGGCAGAUAAGAACUAUUUGUCCCAUUUAUCCUGCCCUUUUUUCUGCUGUAGAAAUCUCAAACCUUAUUUGGUUCUUCGCCUUUUCUUAUAUUUAACAGAGCUUUAUGAAUAAUCCAUGUAUGUUUAAACCCGUAUACUCUUCUGCUGAAAGGCUGUUCCACUUAUCUGCCGCUGUCUCCAUAAAACUUCAUUACAGUUAA